rnacentral:rRNA from 1 species
GAUGAACGCUGGCGGCGUGCCUCAAACAUGCAAGUCGAGCGAGGCUAUGAAUUACCGCAAGGUAAGGCAUAGCCUAGCGGCGAACGGGUGAGUAACACGUGGGUAACCUACCUGGAAGACAGGGAUAACGAUUCGAAAGGGUCGCUAAUACCUGAUAAUAUCCAUCUGCCGGAUGGUGGAGGGAAGAAAGGGGAAACCCGCUUUCAGAUGGGCCCGCGUCCCAUCAGCUAGUUGGUAAGGUAAAGGCUUACCAAGGCGACGACGGGUAGCCGGUCUGAGAGGAUGUACGGCCACACUGGGACUGAGAUACGGCCCAGACUCCUACGGGAGGCAGCAGUUGGGAAUCUUAGGCAAUGGACGAAAGUCUGACCUAGCGACGCCGCGUGAGGGAAGAAGGCCUUCGGGUUGUAAACCUCUGUCAUGGGGGAAGAAGGAAGUGACGGUACCCCAAGAGGAAGCCCCUGCUAACUACGUG